rnacentral:tRNA from 1 species
GGUCGCAUGGCGCAAUUGGUAGCGCGUAGCUCUGAUAAGGCUAAGGUCGCGGGUUCGAGCCCCGUUGUGACUA